rnacentral:rRNA from 1 species
AACGAACGCUGGCGGCAGGCCUAACACAUGCAAGUCGAGCGCUGUAGCAAUACAGAGCGGCGCACGGGUGAGUAACACGUGGGAACGUGCCCUUUGGUUCGGAAUAACUCAGGGAAACUUGAGCUAAUACCGGAUGAGCCCUAACGGGGAAAGAUUUAUCGCCGAAGGAGCGGCCCGCGUUGGAUUAGCUAGUUGGUGGGGUAAAAGCCUACCAAGGCGACGAUCCAUAGCUGGUUUGAGAGAACGACCAGCCACACUGGGACUGAGACACGGCCCAGACUCCUACGGGAGGCAGCAGUGGGGAAUCUUGGACAAUGGGGGAAACCCUGAUCCAGCCAUGCCGCGUGAGUGAUGAAGGCCCUAGGGUUGUAAAACUCUUUCGGCGGGGACGAUAAUGACGGUACCCGCAGAAGAAGCUCCGGCUAACUUCGUGC